AUUGAACGCUGGCGGCAGGCUUAACACAUGCAAGUCGAGCGGAGAGAGGUAGCUCGCUACUGAUCUUAGCGGCGGACGGGUGAGUAAUGCAUCGGAACGUGCCCAGUCGUGGGGGAUAACGCAGCGAAAGCUGUGCUAAUACCGCAUACGAUCUGUGGAUGAAAGCGGGGGACCUUCGGGCCUCGCGCGAUUGGAGCGGCCGAUGUCAGAUUAGGUAGUUGGUGGGGUAAAGGCCCACCAAGCCGACGAUCUGUAGCUGGUCUGAGAGGACGACCAGCCACACUGGGACUGAGACACGGCCCAGACUCCUACGGGAGGCAGCAGUGGGGAAUUUUGGACAAUGGGCGCAAGCCUGAUCCAGCAAUGCCGCGUGCAGGAAGAAGGCCUUCGGGUUGUAAACUGCUUUUGUACGGAGCGAAAAGGCUCCCUCUAAUACAGGGGGCUCAUGACGGUACCGUAAGAAUAAGCACCGGCUAACUACGUGCCAGCCGCCGCCGUAAAAC
rnacentral:rRNA from 1 species